GACGAACGCUGGCGGCGUGCCUAAUACAUGCAAGUCGAACGCUUCUUUCCUCCCGAGUGCUUGCACUCAAUUGGAAAGAGGAGUGGCGGACGGGUGAGUAACGCGUGGGUAACCUACCCAUCAGAGGGGGAUAACACUUGGAAACAGGUGCUAAUACCGCAUAACAGUUUAUGCCGCAUGGCAUAAGAGUGAAAGGCGCUUUCGGGUGUCGCUGAUGGAUGGACCCGCGGUGCAUUAGCUAGUUGGUGAGGUAACGGCUCACCAAGGCCACGAUGCAUAGCCGACCUGAGAGGGUGAUCGGCCACACUGGGACUGAGACACGGCCCAGACUCCUACGGGAGGCAGCAGUAGGGAAUCUUCGGCAAUGGACGAAAGUCUGACCGAGCAACGCCGCGUGAGUGAAGAAGGUUUUCGGAUCGUAAAACUCUGUUGUUAGAGAAGAACAAGGACGUUAGUAACUGAACGUCCCCUGACGGUAUCUAACCAGAAAGCCACGGCUAACUACGUG
rnacentral:rRNA from 1 species